rnacentral:rRNA from 1 species
CAGGACGAACGCUGGCGGCGUGCUUAACACAUGCAAGUCGAACGGAGGUUAUUUGAAACUUAGUGAUAGAUAACCUAGUGGCGGACGGGUGAGUAACGCGUGGAUAAUCUGCCCCCCGGCCGGGAUAGCCCAGGGAAACCUGGAUUAAUACCGGAUGAGACGGGACCCGCGAUGGCGGGACCCGGGAAAGGCGCUGCGGCGCCGCCGGGGGAUGAGUCUGCGUCCCAUUAGCUAGACGGCGGGGUAACGGCCCACCGUGGCGACGAUGGGUAGCCGGCCUGAGAGGGUGGACGGCCACAUUGGAACUGAGACACGGUCCAGACUCCUACGGGAGGCAGCAGCUAAGAAUCUUCCGCAAUGGGCGAAAGCCUGACGGAGCGACGCCGCGUGAACGAAGAAGGCCGUGAGGUUGUAAAGUUCUUUUCGGGAGGGGGAACAACCGUGGCAGGGAAUGGCCGCGGGAUGACGUGAAUCCCGGAAUAAGCCCCGGCUAACUACGUGCCAGCAGCUGC